CCUACGGGUGGCUGCAGUGGGGAAUAUUGGGCAAUGGGCGCAAGCCUGACCCAGCGACGCCGCGUGGGUGAUGAAGGCCUUCGGGUUGUAAAGCCCUGUCAUGUGGAAAGAACAGUCUCGUGGUGAAUAUCCACGGGAUUUGACGGUACCACAGGAGGAAGCACCGGCUAACUCCGUGCCAGCAGCCGCGGUAAUACGGAGGGUGCAAGCGUUGUUCGGAAUUAUUGGGCGUAAAGGGCGCGUAGGCGGUUGUGAAAGUCAGAUGUGAAAUACUUCGGCUCAACUGAAGAACUGCAUCUGAAACUUCAUAACUCGAGUACAGGAGAGGGAAACGGAAUUCCCGGUGUAGAGGUGAAAUUCGUAGAUAUCGGGAGGAACACCAGUGGCGAAGGCGGUUUCCUGGCCUGAUACUGACGCUGAGGCGCGAAAGCGUGGGGAGCAAACAGGCUUAGAUACCCCGGUAGUC
rnacentral:rRNA from 1 species